rnacentral:rRNA from 1 species
CACGUAGGGCGCAAGCGUUGUCCGGAAUUAUUGGGCGUAAAGAGCUCGUAGGCGGUCUGUCGCGUCGGCUGUGAAAACUCGGGGCUCAACCCCGAGCCUGCAGUCGAUACGGGCAGACUAGAGUGCUGUAGGGGAGACUGGAAUUCCUGGUGUAGCGGUGAAAUGCGCAGAUAUCAGGAGGAACACCGGUGGCGAAGGCGGGUCUCUGGGCAGUAACUGACGCUGAGGAGCGAAAGCGUGGGGAGCGAACAGG